rnacentral:rRNA from 1 species
AAGCUCGUAGUUGAAUUUCGGGGUUAGUAGGUUGGUCAUGCCUCUGGUAUGUACUGGUCUCACUGAUUCCUCCUUCCUUAUGAACCGUAAUGCCAUUAAUUUGGUGUUGCGGGGAAUUUGGACUGUUACUUUGAAAAAAAUUAGAGUUGUUUAAAGCAAGCUAACGCUUAGAAUACAUUAGCAUGGAAUAAUGAAAUAGGACGUUCGAUCUUAUUUUGUUGGUUUCUAGGUAUUGACGUAAUGAUUAAUAGGAUAGUUGGG